AGCCCCGUGGUGUAGCGGCCAAUCAUCCCAGCCUUUGGAGCUGGGGACCCCGGUUCGAAUCCGGGCGGGGCUA
rnacentral:tRNA from 1 species